GGCAAGGGAAUUAUCAAUAACCAACCUCGUUUCAAUAUUUAACUUCAUAAUAUGAAUCUCAAUUUGAGGCAAUACUCAACCAAUAUCAAAUUCCAGGAAAAUAUGAUAACAUUUGUUUAACAUGAAGAAUAACCAGUUUAAGCAUGAGCAAUACGAAUAAAGAAUACAAUAGUCACAAGGAUAAGACUCACUCGCAUACUAUGACCCGACAAUAACGUAUAGGUACUCGUCACCUCACCUAUACGUCGUACUCAACAACCAAACACAUAGCAAAUACGGCGACAAUACCUAAUCCCUCAAGCUAAGGUUAGCCACAAUACUUACCUCGAUUCCACGGCCGAACUCAAGCCUCAAACACCGCUUUUCCCUUAGUGUCCACCUCCGAACCACCCGUAUCUAGUUAUAAUUAACUUAAUAAUAUCAAUUAUCGCUAAAGAAAUCAAUUCCAAUGCAUCGUUACAAGUUUCCCAACAUUUUCCCCAAAAAGUCAAAAACCGACCCGAGCCCGCUUGGUUAAAACUCGAGGUUCCGACCAAAACCCAUUCACCCAUUCACCCACGAGCCCAAAUAUGUAAUUAGUUUCGGAAUCCGACCCCAAAUCGAGGUCUAAAUUCCAAUUAUACAACAAUACCUAAUUCUAUCCAAACCCCCAAUUUCCACCAUGAAAACCCUAGAUUUUUGGUUGAAAAUUGAUGAAAUGCAAUGGGUAAUUGAAAGAAAGUAGUUUAGAAUUAUUUACCAACACUUUGGGGAAGAACUUGUCUCUUGAAAAUCGCCUCUAUGCCUUCUAGUUUUUUGAAAAUAUGAAAUAAUGGCCCAUUCCCGUUUCUGCUUCUGUUUUAAGUGCUGGGCGACAGUGUUCAUUGCGAUCGCGUGAGCACUGUCGCGUUCGCGAAGAGCAGCCUCCUAAGGACAUACGCGAUCGCGGGAAAGGCUACGCAUUCACGAAGGUUUAUCCCGCCCUACCUUCGCGUUAGCGAUACGGGGCUCGCGUUCGCAUAGGGUUUCCCCAGGUCCCCUGACCAGCCCUUCUAAAGCUAUGCGUUCGUGGUCGACCGGUCGCGUUCGCGUAGAGCAAUUCCUCUCAAUGCUCCGCGUUCGCGACCCUGGUCUCGCGUUCGCGUAGAGUGAAGUCCUCCCCCUGCCCAUUAUUCCCUUCGCGAUCGCGAAGCACAAUGCAACAGACACCAGAUACAACACUCUCACACCAGAUUUUCUGAGUCUAAAACAUCCCGUAGCCUACCCGAAACUCAUCCGAGCCUUCGGGGCUCCAAACCAAACAUGCACACAAGUCUUAAAAACAUCAUACGAAGUUGGUCGCGCGAUUAAAUCGCCAAAAUAACACCUAGAACUACGAAUUUAGCAUCAAAUUGCAUGAAAUUUUCAAGAAAGUUCAAUAGUUCUAUUUUCUCGACCAAAGGUUCGAAUCACAUCAAAUCAGUCCCAUUUUUCACCAAAUUUCACAGACAUGACUUAAAUUUCAUAUUAAACCUAUACCUGGCUCUAGAACCAAAAUACGGGCCCGAUACCAACAAGAUCGACUAUUAACCAUUUUCACAAAACCAUUAUAAUUUCAAUUUAACAAUUUUCAUCAAAAAUUCAUUUCUCGGGCUAGGGACCUCGGAAUUCGAUUCCGAGCAUACACCCAAGUCCCAUAUUUUACUACGGACCCUCUGGAACCGUCAAAAUAUGAGUCCGGGUUCGUUCACUCAAAAUGUUGACCGAAGUCAACUAAAAUUACUUUUAAAGGCAAAAAUUAUUAUUUUCUCAAAUUUUUCACAUAAAGGUUUUCCGGAAAUGCGCUCGAACUAUGCAAAUUGAGGAGAUGUAAGAUGAGGUUUUGAAGGCCUCGGAACCCCGAAUUGGGUUUUAAAACACGAGAUGACCUUUUGGGUCAUCACAUUCUCCACCUCUAAAACAACCGUUCGUCCUCGAACGGACAUAGAAAAGUGCCUGAGCUAGGGAAAAGAUGGGGAUAUCUGCUCCGCAUAUCGGACUCGGACUCCUAAGUAGCUGCCUCGACAGGCUGACUUCUCCACUGCACACGAACCGAAGGAUAACUCUUCGACCUCAACUGACGAACGUGCCNNNNNNNNNNNNNNNNNNNNNNNNNNNNNNNNNNNNNNNNNNNNNNNNNNNNNNNNNNNNNNNNNNNNNNNNNNNNNNNNNNNNNNNNNNNNNNNNNNNNNNNNNNNNNNNNNNNNNNNNNNNNNNNNNNNNNNNNNNNNNNNNNNNNNNNNNNNNNNNNNNNNNNNNNNNNNNNNNNNNNNNNNNNNNNNNNNNNNNNNNNNNNNNNNNNNNNNNNNNNNNNNNNNNNNNNNNNNNNNNNNNNNNNNNNNNNNNNNNNNNNNNNNNNNNNNNNNNNNNNNNNNNNNNNNNNNNNNNNNNNNNNNNNNNNNNNNNNNNNNNNNNNNNNNNNNNNNNNNNNNNNNNNNNNNNNNNNNNNNNNNNNNNNNNNNNNNNNNNNNNNNNNNNNNNNNNNNNNNNNNNCUAGGGCUUAACGUGCCCUUUUCCCCAAGCCGCAUCACACCCUUCAUGGGUGGCACUCGAAGCAACACUCUCUCUCCGACCAUGAAUGCCACAUCUCGAACCUUAUGAUCAACAUAACUUUUUUGCCUGGACUGAGCUGUACGUAGUCUAUCCUGAAUGAUCUUAACCUUAUCCAAGGUAUCCUGCACUAAGUCUCUGCCUAGUAACCGAGCCUCCCCCGGCUCAAACCAUCCAACCGGCGAUCGACACCGUCUACCAUACAACGCCUCAUAGGGAGCCAUUUGGAUGCUCGACUGAUAACUGUUGUUGUAGGCAAACUCCGCUAACAACAAGAACUAAUCCCAAGAACCUCCAAAGUCAAUAACACAGGCGCGGAGCAUAUCCUCCAAAAUUUGAAUGGUACGCUCGGACCGUCCGUCCGUCUGAGGAUGAAAUGUUGUGCUCAACUCGACCCGCGUACCUAACUCACGCAGUACUGCCCUCCAGAAAUGCGAGGUAAACUGCGUACCUCAGUCAGAAAUGAUAGACACGGGCACACCAUGAAGACGAACGAUCUCACGGAUGUAAAUCUCCCAACCGCUCCGAAGAAUAGGAAACUGCCACAGGAAUAAACUGCGCCGACUUGGUCAGCCUAUCCACAAUAACCCAUACUACAUCGAACUUCCUCCGAGUCCGUGGGAGUCCAACAACAAAGUCCAUAGUGAUACGCUCCCACUUUCACUCAGGUAUCUCAAUCUUCUGAAGCAAACCACCAGGUCUCUGAUGCUCGUACUACAUAUGCAACAAUAUCCUUCUUCAUCCUCCUCUACCAAUAAUGCUGUCGCAAGUCCUGAUACAUCUUAGCGGCGCCCGGAUGAAUACAAUACCGGGAACUGGGAGCCUCCUCUAGAAUCAACUCACGAAGUUCAUCCACAUUAGGCACGCAAACACGACCCUGCAUCCUCAAAACUCCAUCAUCUCCAACUGUAACCUACUUGGCAUCUCCGUGCCGCACUGUGUCCCUAAGGACAAGCAAAUGAGGAUCAUCAUAUUGCCGCUCCCUGAUACGUUCAAACAAGGAAGACCGAGCGACUGUACAAGCUAGAACACGGCCGGGCUCAGAAACAUCCAAUCUCACGAACUGAUUGACCAAAGCCUGAACAUCUAAAGCAAGCGGUCUCUCAUCGACUGGAAUAUACGCGAGACUGCCCAUACUAGCUGACUUCCUACUCAAAGCAUCGGCCACUACGUUGGCCUUCCCGAGAUGAUACAAGAUGGUGAUAUCAUAGUCUUUCAAUAGUUCCAACCACCUCCUCUGCCUCAAAUUGAGCUCCCUCUACUUGAACAAAUGCUGCAAACUCUUAUGAUCCGUGAACACCUCACACGACACGCCAUAUAGAUAAUGCCUCCAAAUUUUCAGUACGUGAACAAUGACUGCUAGCUCUAAGUCAUGAACUGGAUAAUUCUUCUCGUGAAUCUUCAACUGUCGCGAGGCAUACGCAAUAACCUUGCCACCCUGCAUCAAUACCGCACCAAGUCCAAUACGAGAUGCGUUACAAUACACUGUAUAGGGCCCUGAACCUGUGGGCAGCACUAACACCAGCGUCGUAGUCAAAACAGUCUUGAGCUUGUGAAAGCUCGCCUCACACUCGACCGGCCACCUGAACGGGGCACCCUUCUGUGUCAACCUAGUCAUCGGGGCUGCUAUAGAUGAAAACCCCUCCACAAACUGACGGUAUUAACCUGCCAAGCCCAAGAAACUCCGGAUUUUUGUAGCUGAUGUGGGUCUAGGCCUGUCUUUGACUGCCCAAUCUUUUUAGGAUCCACCUUAAUACCCUUUGCUGAUACAACGUGACCCAAGAAUGCAACCGAACUCAACCAAAACUCACAUUUCGAAAACUUAACAUAUAACUGGCUGUCUCUCAGAGUCUGAAGAACGAUCCGAAAAUGCUGCUCAUGCUCCUCUCGACUGCGGGAGUAGAUCAAGAUAUCAUCAAUAAAAACAAUCAUGAAAGAAUCCAAAUAGGGCUUGAACACUCGGUUCAUCAAAUCCAUGAACGCUGCUAGGGCAUUUGUCAACCCAAAUGACAUCACUAAAAACUCAUAAUGCCCAUCCCGAGUCCGAAAAGCUGUCUUAGGGACAUCAGACGCCCUAAUCCUCAACUGAUAAUAGCCAGAACCCAAAUCGAUCUUUGAAAACACCUUGGCAAUGGAUACUUGUUCUUGAUUGUGACUUUGUUCAACUAUCGAUAAUCUAUGCACAUCCUCAUCGAUCCAUCCUUUUUAUUUACAAAUAACACUAGCGCACCCCAAUGCGAGACACUAGGCCUAAUGAAGCCCUUAUCAAGCAAGUCUUGCAACUGCUCCUUCAAUUCUUUCAACUCUGGUGGGGCCAUUCGGUAUGGCGGAAUAGAAAUGGGCUGAGUGCCCGGAGCCAAAUCAAUGCAAAAGUCAAUAUCCCUAUUGGGUGGCAUCCCGGGCAGGUCUGCAGGAAAUACCUCUGGAAAUUCACGAACAACUGAUACGGAAUCCAUGGAAGGAACCUCCGCACUGGAAUCACGAACAUAAGCCAAAUAAGCCAAACACCCCUUCUCGACCAUGCGCCGAGCCUUCACAUAAGAAAUAACCCUACUGGUAGAAUGACCAGGAGUCCCUCUCCACUCCAAUCGAGGCAACCCCGGCAAGGCUAAGGUUGGUCUUGGCGUGACAGUUCAAUAUAGCAUGAUAAGGUGACCGCCAAUCCAUCCCCAAAAUGGCAUCAAAAUCAACUAUAUUGAGAAGUAGGAGAUCCACACUCGUCUCAAGACCCCCAAUAAUAACCACACACGAGCGAUAGACACGCUCUACAACAAUAGAAUCACCCACCGGUGUGGACACAUAUACAGGAGCACUCAAGGAUUCACAAGGCACAACCAAAUACGAAGCAAAGUAAGAUGACACAUAGGAGUAUGUAGACCCUGGAUCAAUUAGAACUGAAGUAUCUCUACUGCAAAUUGAAACCGUACCUGUGAUAACGGCAUCGGAUGCCUCAGGCUUAGGCCUGGCUGGGAAAGCAUAAUAUCGGGGCUGGGCCCCACCACUCUAAACUAUAUCCCUGGGACGGCCUCCUGCUGGCUGGCCUCCACCUCUAAUACCUCGACCUCCACCUCUAGCUAUCUGACCCCUACCUCUACCUGACUGGGCGGGUGGUGGAACCCCCGGUGCCGGGACCAUGCCACGAGAACCUUGAUGCUAAGAACUGCUCGAUACUCGAGGGCAAUCCCUGGCAAUGAGCCUCGGAUCGCCACGAGUAUAACAAGACCUCGGCUGCUGAGAUUGCUUACCCUGAAACUAACCCUGACGGCCUAGGUAACCACUCUGAAAACUCAGGAGCGGAGGUGCACUGAUAGGAGCUGGUGGUGCACUGUAAGGUAGUUGAUCAGAAUAUAUGAGAGCCAGGACCACCUGAAGCACCGUGAGAAGCCUGAAGUGCUGAAUGAAACGGCCUGGGAGGAUGGCCUCUACCAAAAGAAUCCCUGCCUCCAGACGAGGCACCACUGACCCUACCAGAAUGACGAGGACUCUUGUCAGACCCCUGACCACUCCCCUGAGCUAAAAUUAUCUCAACUUGCCUGGCCACAUUGGCCGCAUCCCGGAAAGAAAUCUCGCUCCCUGUCUCUUUAGCCAUCUGCAAUCUGAUAGGCUGAGUGAGUCCCUCAAUAAACCUCCUCAUCCUCUCUAUCUCGGUGGGGAGUAUAAGAAGAGCAUGACGGGCCAAAUCAACAAACCUAGUCUCGUACUGGGUGACAGUCAUAGAACCCUGCUGAAGAUGCUCGAAUCGCCUACGAUAGUCCUCUCUCUGAGUAACAGAAAGGAACUUUUCGAGAAAUAGCUGAGAGAACUGGUCCCAAGUCAAAGGCAGGCGACCAACUGGUCUAGUCAACACAAAAUCAUUCCACCAUCUCUUGGCGGACCCUAUCAUCUGGAAUAUAGCAAAGUCGACCCCAUUGGUCUCCACUAUCCCCAUGUUCUGCAACACCUCAUGAUAGCGGUCAAGAUAAUCCUAUGGGUCCUUAUAAGCUGCCCCACUGUAAUGAAUCGGAAAAAGCUUGGUGAACUUGUCCAACCUCAACAAAGCCUCAGAAGACAUGACUGAUCCACCAGCGGCCUGUGCUGCAGUAGCUGGCUGAACUACUCCAACUGGCUGAGCUGCCGGAGUCUGAAACUGAGGAGUCAUCUACUCCGGAGUGUGGGUAGCGGGAGUCUGGGCUCCUUCCCUAGCCUGAGAGACGGCUGGUGCUACAGGAAAUGUGCCAGUCUGAGCUAUGCUCUCCAUAAGGCCCUCUAGACGGACCAAAGCAUCCUAAAGUACCAGGGUAGCUAUGAACCCCUCCAGGACCUGAGCUGGUCAUGCUGGAACCAAUGUUAUAAAUAGCGCCCGCCUCAGCGCUAAUAGCGUGAGGCGAGACGAGGCAAGGCAGUGUCGCUACAUGGCAACUGUUGCGUUGCGUUUCAAAAUAGCGGUCGCUUCAAGGUGUGUUGCGUGAGGCAACACUGUAGCGAGUAGCGGCUGUAGCGUUGCUAUUUUAAAAAAGAAAAAGAAAAAGGGCAAAACUUAAAAUAAUAGGUCGCGAUUAGGGCUUGAGUUCAGAGCUUCUUCAACUUCAAACAAAAAACAACAAGAAAAGGCCGGAACUUGCGAUUAGGGCUCGAACAAAACAACUUCUUCAACUUCUUCAUUUCUUCCCAGUGCCAUCUUCUUCUUCAUCAAGCUUCUGCCAUUGAAAGACCAGGUAUGAGCAUGAGCUCUGAGUUUCCUUGCUUUCUUCUUCUUUCUUCUCUCUUCUUUCUUCUUUCUCCUUCUUCUUCUCUUCUUCUUCCUUCUUCUUUUUUCCUCUCUUUUUUGACGAAAAGAGCAGAAACAGUGGUCUGUUUUUGUGCUCUAAUUUUCGAGCAAAAUACAGAGGUUCUUCACUUCCUCUUUCUUCUUCUCUUAAUUUUUUUUUUGGCUCUGUUUUGGCAAAAUAUAAAGGCUGCUUUGAGGCCCUUUUUUUCCAGAAACAGAGGCUGCUUUGAGGCCCUUUUUUUCAGAAACAGAGGCUGUUUUGAGGCCCUUUUUUUGGCUCUGUUUGCCUUUUUUUCAAUUAUUAACUUAUAGUCUUAUAUAGUAGAAUUAAUUGCAUAUUGACUUGAUAAUUUUUGUCUAUAAAACAACGUUGAAAUGGCAUCAUCCGAUAAUACUAAACGAGAUAUAGCUUGGAAUUAUGCUAUACAAGGCUCGUCAAGAUUCGCAAUUAAUUGUGUGUUUUGUCAAAAAACAUAUAAUGGUGGGAUAACUCGUCACAAACAAUAUUUGAUAGGUGGAUUUAAAAAUGUAAUACAAUGUCCCCUUUGUCCGCCCGGGGUUAGGGAGGAAGUAAAAUCGUUUGUUGAAAAGAAAAAUAUGGCAAAAACUCAAAUGAAUUAUGAAGCAUCGGUGAAUCUAAUUGAUGAAGAUGAUGAGAUGGAUGAAGAAGGUGAAAUGGGACCUCCCCCCCUAAAACUCAGUGUUUUUGAGAGCGCGAAGCGCAAAAAAGCGACAAGGGCUCGCCUCGCUUCAAAAGCGAAGCGCAAAGCGAAGCGCAUGCUUUAUUAAAGUGAAGCGCAAUUCUUAAAAAACAUAAUGUAAAAUUAUAAAUAAUCAAAAACUUCAAUUUAAAUACUUAAAAGUAGGUACUAGGUACCAGCAAAUCAUCCACAAACCUUCCACAAACCAUAGGACAAGUAAAAUCAAAGCUACUAAAUUACUAGAAUCAACAUCUUAUUCUUCUACUCUUCUUCUUCUUCUUCAAGAUUGUCAAAAUCUUGAAUUCCUCUAUUAUCUUCAUAUUGCUCGUCAUCUUCUUCUUCCCCCUCCUCUUCAUGAUCACUUUCAUCUUCAUCAAUUAGGGAUAGGGAUCGACUUGUAGUAGCCACACUUUUUCCCUUCCUAAUAGAGCUUGAACUUGGAGUAUAUCUCCUUAAACCAUAAGGAUCUUCCCCAACUCCACUACCAACCGCAACAUCACCCCAAGUGAAAUCGGAGUCGCCUUCAAAUACUUCUUCAUCUUCACAAUUUUCGGGGACUCCGGUUAGCCACUCAUUAGCCUCAUCAAUAUUGUCCAAAAGAAUUGGAUCAAUUAUAUUGCGGUGGUUGUAGCGUCGUCUCAAUGCUCUAUUGUAUUUUAUGAACACUAGAUUAUGGAGGCGCUUCAAGGUUAGUCGAUUCAUUUUCUUUGUAUGAAUCUGCAAAAAAGAUGUGUCAACUAAUUAGUAGGAGUUUGGACAAUUGAGAUAUAAUUUACUUUAUCUCAAAAUACGAAAUAAUUCUUUUUAUUUCUCACGUGUUCAAAAACACUCCAGUUCCUUUCACAUCCGGAUGAGCUACAAGUUAAGCUUAGAACUUUGAUGGCGAAAGCCUGUAGCUCCGGAGUCUCUACACCAUAUUGGUCCCACCAUUUAACUAUAGAAGUUAAAAAAAUGUUCAAGAGUUAAUAAGUAUAAAGAAUACAUUGAAGUUAGAGCUAUAAAAUAUAGAAACACUUGGUCACCUGGCGACUUCGUCGUUCUUUGUUUAAUAGCAAGUCGGAGCUUAAAAAGUCCUUCAGCUGCCUUGUAAAUAGCAAGCUGACCUACUAUCUUUUCUUGCAAGUCUUCAUCUGGGUUCAACUUGAUAACAACCUGAUGGAAUCCUGUCCACACUUCUUUAGCCAAUGAAUUUUUCUCAUGCUGCUCAUAAAAGAUUGAUGGGUUCAGAAUAAGUCCAGCUGCAUGCAAAGGUCUAUGAAGUUGCUCAUCCCAUCUUGCAUCAAUGAUCUGAAAGACCUUUGCAUAUUUCUGCUCAUCACUGAAUGAUGCUUGAAUAGCCUCCUUGGCCCUAUCUAUAGCUUCAUAGAGGUCAUUGAUGGUUUUUGCUCCCCAUCCACCAAACGGAGUACUUUAACCAAAGGGCCACCAAUUUUAAGAGCAUGAAGGACAUUAUUCCAAAAAGAAUAAGAAAGAAUAAUGCGUGCAACCUCUUUCCCCGCACUUUCCUUUGCAAAUUUACUCUUGCUCCAUUCCUCUGAAGUGACCAUCUUUCUCAAAUUGUUUUUUUAACAGUGGAUACUAUGCAAAGUCAAGAAAGCAGUGGCGAACCUUGUCUUGCCCGGUUUCACCAAAUUUUUUUGCAUGGUGAAUCUUCUCAUCAUAUUCAAUAACAAGGGCCGCUGAGAAAUAUAAGGAUGUAACCUAACGCCCUGGCCAAAAACUGUAGAGAAGGGUUUUUCCCUGAAAAUGUCCCCGAACAUCAAGUUGAUACAAUGAGCCGCACAUGGAGUCCAAUAGACAUUCUUGUACGCUCCUUCAAUCAUGCCACCUGCUUUCUUAUUUUCACUUGCAUUAUCAGUGACCACUUGAACAACUUUGCUUGGAUCAAUCUUUUCGAUGGUAUUCUGAAACAAGGUGAACAUUUUGAUGUGGUCGGUGGAUGAGUCACUAGCAUCAAUGGACUCAAGAAACAAGCUUCCCCGGGGAGAAUUCACCAACACAUUAAUAAUCAUUUUCCCCGUUCUUGCCGUCCACUUAUCCAUCAUAAUGGAACAGCCGUACUUGUUCCAUACAACUUUAUGCUCCUCAACAAUUUUAUUAGUCUCCUCCACUUCCUUAUUUAGAUAAGGACCUCUUAUUUCAUGGUAAGUGGGAGGCUUCAUUCCAGGUCCGUAUUGACCAACGACCUCAAUAAAGUCUCCAAAAGUGUCAUAGUUGACACAAUUGAAGGGGAGCCCAACAUCAUAGACCCAUCGUGCAAAAGCUCUAACCGCACGAUCCCUCAAAAUGUCUUUAGCAAUUUUUUGUACAUCUUUUCCACCGCCCAACAUUAUAUAUAUAUUAUUAUAUAUAAUAAUAAUAUAUAUAGUAAUUAAUUAUAUAAACUGAAAAAAACAUUUAAAAAAUCACAUAAACUAAAAAUAAUACAUAUAUAUAAUUAAUUUUAUAUGCUGAAAUAUAAUAACGCAGAAGCAGAAGCAGCAGAAGAAGCAGAAACAGACGCAGAAAAAGAAGCAACAGAAGCAGAAGAAGAAGCAGCAGAAGCAGAAGCAAAAGAAAAAUAAGCAGAAGCAGAAGAAGCAGAAGAAGAAGCAGCAGAAGCAGAAGCAGAAAAAGACGCAGAAAAAGAAGCAACAGAAGCAGAAGAAGAAGCAGCAGAAGAAGCAGAAGCAGAAGCAAAAGAAAAAAAAGCAGAAGAAGCAGAAGAAGCAGAAAAAGAAGCAGCAGAAGCAGAAGAAGCAGAAGAAAAAUAAGAAAGGAGAAGAAGAAAUGAAGAAGAAAAGAGAAAGAAAUUACCUGGACUGGAGAAGCAGUGGUCGAGCUUGAGCUUGAGAGAGAAGGGGUCAACCCUAGGCCUUUGUCGAUGUCUCUGUUUUGACGGGAGAAGCAGUGGUCUGUUGUGACUAUUUAGGGGUCUUUUUUGUAUAAUUAAAAAACAGACCCCAAGUUUUUUUUUUUAUAAAAAAGGGCCAGUGCGCUUUUGUAAAAAAAGCGAUCGCUUCGUCGAUUUGCUCGCUUCGUCGCUUCAGCUAGUGAAGCACGCGCUUUUCAAGAUCACAUUGCUUCGAGCAGCCAGAAGCGAUACACUGUCGCUUCGCGCUUUAAGCGACGAAGCGAUCGCUUUUCUAAACACUGCUAAAACUCAUAAGAUAAAUCCAAAUACUUCUAAUGGGUCAUCCACGGCACGUACGGUGACAAAAGGUCCUCUCAAUCUUUAUUUCUCGGCAAAACAACAAGAAAGGGGAAAAGGUGAAGAAGUUUCAGGUUUAGAAGGCAAGAAGAUUUUGAGGGAUCGCGCCGUCAGUGCCUUUGCAUCAUGGAUGUACGAUGCAGGGCUUCCUUUCAACUGUGUCAACUAUAAAACUUUUGAUAAAUUCAUUUUGGCCGUAGGACAAUAUGGCCUAGGAAUGAAGCCUCCUAGCUAUCAUGAAGUUAGAGUAACUCAUCUUAAAAAGGAGGUGAAGAAGAUAGACCAAAUUAUUGAGGAGCAUAAAGUGGAAUGGAACAAGUUUGGAUGUUCCAUUAUGAUGGAUAAAUGGACAGCACAGAAUGGAAAAAUGAUCAUAAAUGUGUUGAUGAACUCUCCAAGUAAGGCUGUAUUGUGGCCCGGGCCUGGCCCGGGACCGGCCCAGGACCGAGGGCCUAACGGGCCGGUUCAACCGGGCCUGGGCUCUAGUGGUGCAAAAGCCUGUGGUGGGCCGGUUCAAGACAAUUAGCCCGUGAGCCCGGGACCAUUAAGACCGGCCCAGGACCGCGGGCCUGGGCCGGUUCAACCGGGCCCAACGGGCUCCAAAGGCUAAUUUUUAUACCAACGGUCAAAUUUUUAAAAUCUAGCCGUUGGCCUUCAAAAUUUAUCCGUUGGCCACUUUAAAAAAAUAGCCAUUUGGCCCCCAAACUUUGCUUUAACCCNNNNNNNNNNNNNNNNNNNNNNNNNAAACGAAAAAAAGCCCAUUAGGCCCGUUUAGGCCCGCGGCCCCGACCCAUUUAGCUUGGGACCAUGUGGGCUUAGGACCGCCGUGGGCCGGUUCCACACAUUGGGACUAUUUGGCCCAGGACCGCCUCAGCCCGGCCCGCCUCAAGCCCAGGCCCAUUUGGCCCGGCCCGUUUAGGCCCGGGCCCGGACCACAAUACAACAUUAUCUCCAAGAGGGAGUGUUUUUCUUGAAUCUCAUGAUGCUAGCAACUCUUCUACGGAUGGAAACAAAAUGUACAGCUUGUUUAGAAAUACUAUUGAUAAAAUUGGAAAGGAAAAUGUUGUACAAAUUAUUACAGAUAAUGCUAGUGAGAAUGUUAGUGCGGGGAAGAUGAUGGAAGCUAUCUAUCCAAACAUUUAUUGGACUCCAUAAUCCAUAUGCUGUCCAUUGUAUCAACUUGAUGUUUGGUGACAUAUUCAAGGAAAACCCAUAUGCUCAAGUAACUUUAAUAUAGUUAUCUUUAAAGCCUUUAACUUUAUCUAUACUUAUGUCCUAUCCUAUUAAGUAUUAACUAUAAAAUUGUUAUUGUUCCUUUUACAGUAUUCACUAAGGCCGUAAAGGUAUAUGCUUACAUCAGUCAGAGGCCGUUGUUGUUGAAUUUGAUGAGGAAAUUCACAAAUGAAAGAAAUUUGGUGAGACCGGCCAAGACUAGAUUUGCAACGGCUUUCUUAACUUUGCAUAGUUUUUACUUGCAAAAGAAAAAUUUGAGAAGGCUAGUUCUUUCGACUGAAUGGAAAGAUAAUAAAUAUGCAAAGGAAGCUGCGGGGAAAGAAACUGCCAAAGUUCUUAUUGCUCUAUCAUUCUUGAAUGAUGUCGUUCGUGCUCUUAAAGUUGGUGGUCCUUUGAUUAGGGUGCUUCGUAUGGUGGAUGGGGAGAAAAAACCACCAAUGGGCUAUCUUUAUGAAGCUAUGGAUAGAGCCAAAGAGAGUAUUGUAGCGUCAUUUGAUGGAAAUGUUAGGAAAUAUGAGAAAGUUUUUGAGAUAAUUGAUACCAGGUGGAACAAUCAACUCCAUCGACCUUUGCAUGCAGCAGGCCAUCUUCUGAACCCGGGAUUAUUUUACAACACUAGAGAUGAAACUUUGGAUUAAGAGGUGUGGAUUAGAUACCAUGCAUGUUUUGAGAAGUUGAUCCCUAAUUCAGCGACGAUAGAUCUAAUAGGGGAGGAGUUUGGUAAGUACUCACAAGCAGAGGACCUAUUUGGUUUACCGACUGCCAUUAGAGCUAGAGACAAAAGGUGUAACUAACUUUAAUAUAGAUAUCCUUAUAACUUUAAUUUAAUUUAUGUGAUUUAUACUUAUUAUCUUUUAAAAUAUUUUUCUAUAGUUGAAUGGUGGAAGCAAUUUGGACAUCAAACUCCAAACUUGCAAAAGUUUGCCAUCAAAAUAUUAAGCCUAACUUGUAGUGCAUCUAGAUGCGAGAGAAAUUGGUGUGUAUUUGAGCAUGUAAGAAGUAGAUUUAUUAUAUUAAUAUAUUCUAUAUUGUAUUAUUAUUAGUAUUUAUUAAUUAAUUUAAAUAACUUAUGCGCAGAUUCACUCCAAGAAAAGGAAUAGGCUUGAGCUAUCGCGUCUCCAUGAUCUAGUGUAUAUUAAAUACAAUAGAACAUUGAGGCGACGUUACGAAGCUCGCGAUACCGUUGAUCCAAUUAUGUUGGACAACAUUGACGAGGCAAAUGAAUGGUUAACUAGAGCCCCCCAAAAUCGUGAAGAUGAACUAGUGUAUGAAGGAGAUGAUCUUGAUUGGGGUACUGUUUCUAUGGCCGUUGGAGUUGAGGAGAAUAUCUAUGGACUUAGAGCGAGUUCUUCAAGUUAUAAGGCAAAGGGCGUAGCAAGUUCAAGCCGGUCCCUAAUUGAUGAAGAGUCCGAGGAUGAAGAAGAUGAUAGCCAAUAUAAUGUUAACAUUCAUGAAGUUGUAGAAUUUGAAAAUCUUGAAGAAGAAUAGAUGUUGCUUGUUUUAGAGUUUAGACUAUUAGUCUUUAAUUUAUGAAUUUACUAUGAGUUUAUGACUAUCUAUUGAGUCUUUAAUUGUUGAAUGAUAUAUUUAUUAAUAUAUUAUUGUCAUUGAGUUUUUAGUUAUAUGUAUAUAAUAUUUUAUGUUUUUGUAUAAAUUGUCGCUUUACAUCAAAAAGGUGAGCGCUUCGCUUUGUGCCUCUCGCCUUAGUGAAGCGGGCCUCGUCGCUAUUUGUCGCCGCACGCUAUCCAAAACAUUGGCUGGAGCCUCUUCAUCAAACUCUACCUGAGGCUCUGCCGCUGGUGCUGCUCAAGCUCAGGGCCCCGGCCUCUGGCACGUCCUCGUCCUCUGCCCCUCGUAGGAGCUGCUGCUGGGGCUUGGGCUGCUGGUCAGCCGAUAAAGCGGUACGUGUUCUCGCCAUCUGCGAAAGAACAAGAGUAGAAAGUCCAAUUAGCAUUGAGAAAUCAAAUCGCACGAAAGAGAAGAAUGGAAGUGAAGUUAUUCCUAAACUCUGUAGCCUCUGGGAGAUAAGCACAUACGUCUCUGUACUGAUCCCUCAGAUUCUAUCUAACUUGUUCGUGAAUUGUGAGACCUAGGCAACCUAGUGCUCUGAUACCAACUUGUCACGACUCGGAUUUCCCAGCAUCGGCAUCGUGAUGACGUGUAACUCUUAGAAUGCUAGGCAAACCAACAGAUAAAGAUCUAACAUGCUAAUCACUAUUCAAAACAGUAAAUAACUAUAAUCUAAACCAAAACAAAAUAAGAAGUGCGGAAAUUUAUAAUAGACCAAACACUAUUACACGACUACCCAAAAUCUGGUAUCACAAUCCAUGAACUUCUAAGAGAUACUACAAAUAUUGGUAAAGAAAAUGCAUCUGUUCUCGAAUUAAAAGAAAACAGGAAAGCUAAGGUAAAUGGAAGGGGACUCCAGGGUCUGCGAACGCCGACAAUUCUACCUUGGUCUCCUGAUGGACUGAAGGCAGCAACCCAACUCUGAUCAACGAGGUCCGGUACCGAAAUCUGCACAGAAAGUGCAGAGUGCAGUAUCAGUACAACCGAUCCCAUGUACUGGUAAGUGCCGAGCCUAACAUCGGCGAAGUAGUGACGAGGCUAAGACACGACAAUAACAUGAACCUGUGCAGUUAAAUCAUAUACGAGAAAAUAACAACAAACGGAAAUUUAACAGAUAAUAAUGGGAAGGGGGAAAACAUGCUGAGGGGAAAUAUCAAGUCCUGAAAAUAGUACAGUAAAGAAACGCAGUGAAUAUCAUGCUUUGCACCAAUGGAAGUAAUAACAUGGCAAACAUGUGCACGACAUCACCCUUCGUGCUUUUACUCUCGUCCUUACCAUAAGAAACAAUAGAAACGGCACGACAUCACCCUCGUGCAUUAACUCUCUCAUAACAUGGCACAACAUCACCCUUCGUGCAUUAACACUCUCAGAAUAUGGCACACAUCACCCUUCGUACAUUAACACUCACAGAAUAUGGCACGACAUCACCCUUCAUGCAUUAUCACUCACUUACAAAACAUUGCACGACAUCACCCUUCGUGCCUUACACUCUUCCUCUCCUAAAAAACAGAACAAUAACAACCCGGCAAGGGAAUUAUCAAUAACCAACCUCGUUUCAAUAUUUAACUUCACAAUAUGAAUCUCAACUUGAGUCAAUACUCAACCUAUAUCAAAUUCCAGGAAAACAUGAUAAGAUUUGUUUAACAUGAAGAAUAACCAGUUUAAGCAUGAACAAUACGAAUAAAGAAUACAACAGUCACAAAGAUAAGACUCACUCGCAUACUAUGACCUGACAACAACGUAUAGGUACUCGUUACCUCACCUAUACGUCGUACUCAACAACCAAACACAUAGCAAAUAAGGCGACAAUACCUAAUCCCUCAAGCUAAGGUUAGCCACAAUACAUACCUCGAUUCCACGGCCGAACUCAAGCCUCAAACAUAGCUUUUUUCUUAGUUUUCACCUCCGAACCAUCCGUAUCUAGUCAUAAUUAACUUAAUAAUAUCAAUUAUCGCUAAAGAAAUCAAUUCCAAUGCACCAUUACAAGUUUCCCAAUAUUUUUCCCAAAAAGUAAAAAAUCGACCUCGAGCCCGCUUGGUGAAAACUCGAGGUUCCGACUAAAAUCCAUUCACCCAUUGAUCUACGAGCCCAAAUAUGUAAUUAGUUUCAGAAUCCGACCCCAAAUCGAGGUCUAAAUUCCAAUUAUGCAAAAAUUCGUAAUUCUACCCAAACCCCCAAUUUCCAUCAUGAAAACCCUAGAUUUUUAGUUGAAAAUUGAUGAAAUGCACUGGAUAAUUGAAAGAAAGUAGUUUAGAAUCAUUUACCAACACUUUGGGGAAGAACUUGUCUUUUGAAAAUCGCCUCUAUGCCUUCUAGUUUUUUGAAAAAAUAUGAAAUAAUGGCCCAUUCCCGUUUCUCCUUUUGUUUUAAGUGUUGGGCGACAGUGCUCAUCGCGAUUGCGUGAGCACUAUCGCGUUCACGAAGAGCAGCCUCCUAAGGACUUACGUGAUCGCGGGAAAGGCUACGCAUUCGCGAAGGUUUAGCCCGCCCUACCUUCGCGUUCGCGAUACGGGGCUCGCGUUCGCAUAGGAUUUCCCCAGGUCCCCUGACCAACCCUCCUAAAGCUACGCGUUCGCGGUCGACCGGUCGCGUUAGCGGAGAGCAAUUCCCCCCAAUGCUCCGCGUUCGCGGCCCGGUUCUCGCUUUCGCAUAGAAUGAAGUCCUCCCCCAGCCCAGUUUCCCCUUCGCGAUCGCGAGAGUGACUACGCGAUUGUGAAGCACAAUGCAACAGACACUAAAUACAACACUCUCACACCAGAUUUUCUAAGUCCAAAACAUCCCACAGCCUACCCCAAACUCACCCGAGCCCUCAGGGCUCCAAACCAAACAUGCACACAAGUCUUAAAACAUCAUACGUUGCUCGCUCAGUCAAAUCGCUAAAAUAACGCCUAGAACUACGAAUUUAGCAUGAAAUUGCAUGAAAUUUUCAAGAAAGUUCAAUAGUUCUAUUUUCUCGACCAAACGUCCGAAUCACGUCAAAUCAGUCCCAUUUCUCACCAAAUUUUACAGAUAUGACUUAACUACCAUAUUAAACCUGUACCGGACUCCGUAACCAAAAUACGGGCCCGAUACCAACAAGAUCGACUAUUAACCAUUUUCACAAAACCAUUAUAAUUUCAGUUUAACAAUUUUCAUCAAGAAUUCAUUUCUCGGGCUAGGGACCUCGGAAUUGGAAUUCGGGCAUACGCC
rnacentral:lncRNA from 1 species